GCCAUCCGUGCAUGAGUGACAGUGGGGUGGGGUGGAUGAGCAGUGGCAGUGGUGGGCACCUAUGCUGCUGGCGCCACAGCUUUUUAUAUCUUGGUGAAAACAACGCCUUGCAUUUUCACUUGUAGAUUCUCCGGCUACAUUCCACAAGAACAAAUUCUGGUCACAGAGGCCAGAGUAGACUAUCAGUGUAAUGGCCCUUCCCCUUUGAUGAUAGCAGCUUUUUUCAGGGGAGCAGGGGUGGCCAAACUUCUUAGCCUUAUUUUAUCUUCCUUUCUAGUUCUCCCCAGAGGCUGCUGGGUUCACCUCUCCCUCUGCCAGACAGACAGGCUCAGACAUGCAAGAACGGAAGGGGGUGUGGGGGUUGGGGGGAGGAUUAAGUUGGGGAAAGCCAGUCUUGUCUUUGUAGAUUACCAGAACUGACACACGUACACACACGUACACUCACUCACUCACUCACUCACUCACUCACUCACUCACUCAUCUAUUCAUCUAUUUUUGGCCUAAGUGCCUUUGGACACUUCUUCGGAAAAGCACAUGAACUCUUUGGAGUCUCCUGUUCCACUUGGUAAAUUUCCUAUAGCCACGCACUGAAAGUCCCUGCUGCCCUCCUUCCUCUGAGCUUGUGGGGCCCACAGAUCCCCUGCUCCACUUCCUGCUUCAUUUCAGCUGAUGGAUGACACUCCCUCGUUCUAAUACCAUCUGAAUGCCUGAGCAAUUACAUCUUACAACCUCAUGAAAAACACAGCAGCUUGUCACGAUGAAUGAUGUUACCGUGAAUAAUGCAGUUUGAGUUCAAACUCCUUCUUAUUCCAAGAAUGAGUAAAUAUCCCUACUCCCUCCCCUCCCCAUUGCAUUUGGGUUUGACAUGACAUGAAUCAUUGUGGUUUUACUCCUGGGUAGAAUUGUUUUUCUGUAUUGCAUUGCCAAUUGAUGGAAGGACAAAAAAAGGAAACUUACCAAUGAGCAGUUUCAGAUGAACUUAAAUUCUCAGAAAUCUUGAAGAAUGAAUGAACUAUAACUUUUUGAAGUUGCAAAAAUGUUCAAGUCGGAAGUGACCCAUGGGAAGCAACCUGGUCCUUAAUUCGGACUGGAAAGAAAAUGGAGGCCCAGCGAGGGAACAGUGGCUUCCCCAAGGUCACACUGCAAGUGAGUGGUGGCACUAGUCACCCAGGAGUCCUCCUGACUCCACGGUAUCCUGACCCCAGACCAGCAGCCUUAUUUGUGGUUAAAGAACGUGGAAAAACAGCUUAUGUUUGAAUUUUAAAAUCACGCCAGUACUAAAGAUCUGCAUUCCAUGAAUAUUGAGCUUUGUUGUGUGCAGGUUGCUACGAAUUUUGUAACUAUUUUCUCUAAGAGCUGUCAGUAUUUUACAUAUACAAUUCCAUUCUUUAUUGUCCAGGGAAAAAGUUGCAUUUACUGAGCAGUAAGAGGGUGAUUUGAAGUCCCUGGGGUCCCCCACCCUUGUCUUUCUAUGUGAGAUUGUAUUGCAGGGCUCACAUUUAUUCUCUCAGCAGCUCAUUGCACAGACAGUGUAUUUAUUGAGCACCUACUGUGUGCCAGGAGCUAUGUGGUAAGCUAAGCAGACAAAAACUCCUGCUCUCACAAGAAGAAAGAAUAAACAAGCAGACAAUUGCA